AUUGAACGCUGGCGGAAUGCUUUACACAUGCAAGUCGAGCGGCAGCGCGGGGGCAACCCUGGCGGCGAGCGGCGAACGGGUGAGUAACAUAUCGGAACGUACCCCGUCGUGGGGGAUAACACAGCGAAAGCUGUGCUAAUACCGCAUACGACCUGAGGGUGAAAGCGGGGGAUCGCAAGACCUCGCGCGAUGGGAGCGGCCGAUAUCGGAUUAGCUUGUUGGUGAGGUAAAGGCUCACCAAGGCGACGAUCCGUAGCUGGUCUGAGAGGACGACCAGCCACACUGGAACUGAGACACGGUCCAGACUCCUACGGGAGGCAGCAGUGGGGAAUUUUGGACAAUGGGGGCAACCCUGAUCCAGCCAUUCCGCGUGAGUGAAGAAGGCCUGGUUGUAAGCUACUUUCAGUCAGGAACGAAACGGU
rnacentral:rRNA from 1 species